rnacentral:rRNA from 1 species
CAAUAGCGUAUAUUAAAGUUGUUGCGGUUAAAAAGCUCGUAGUUGGAUUUCUGCUGAGGACGACCGGUCCGCCCUCCGGGUGAGCAUCUGGUUCGGCCUUGGCAUCUUCUUGGUGAACGUAUCUGCACUUGACUGUGUGGUGCGGUACCCAGGACUUUUACUUUGAGGAAAUUAGAGUGUUUAAAGCAGGCUUUUGCUGUGAAUACAUUAGCAUGGAAUAAUAAUCUAGGACUUCGGUUCUAUUUUGUUUGGUUUCUUAGUACUGAAGUAAUAGAUUGAUAGGGAGUAGUUGGGGGUGGCUAGUAUUGGCCGGCCGACGAGGUGGAAAUUACUUGGAUUCGGUCAAGACUAACUUAUGCGAAAGCAUUCACCAAGGAUGUCUUCUUUAAUCAAGAACGAAAGUUGGGGGAGUCGAAGACGAUCAGAUACCAU